rnacentral:rRNA from 1 species
ACCUGGCGGCGGCCUACCAUGCAAGUCGAGCGGUUGACGGGAGCUUGCUCCCUGAUUCAGCGGCGGACGGGUGAGUAAUGCCUAGGAAUCUGCCUAUUAGUGGGGGACAACGUUUCGAAAGGAACGCUAAUACCGCAUACGUCCUACGGGAGAAAGCAGGGGACCUUCGGGCCUUGCGCUAAUAGAUGAGCCUAGGUCGGAUUAGCUAGUUGGUGGGGUAAUGGCUCACCAAGGCGACGAUCCGUAACUGGUCUGAGAGGAUGAUCAGUCACACUGGAACUGAGACACGGUCCAGACUCCUACGGGAGGCAGCAGUGGGGAAUAUUGGACAAUGGGCGAAAGCCUGAUCCAGCCAUGCCGCGUGUGUGAAGAAGGUCUUCGGAUUGUAAAGCACUUUAAGUUGGGAGGAAGGGCAGUAAAUUAAUACUUUGCUGUUUUGACGUUACCGACAGAAUAAGCACCGGCUAACUCUGUGCCAGCAGCCGCGGUAAU